rnacentral:lncRNA from 1 species
UCCUCCUAUGUUAGUACAAAUACAUUGCCCGGAAACACAAACACAACAGCGACAACUACCAUGACUAUCACAAACGCAGGCACCACAAUCAUCAGUGGUUUUGCAUGUUCCUUCAUUAAUUUUUGCGUCUUGAUUCUUAGUCUCAAACUUCAAACCUGAAAAUGCAUUUCAUUUUCUAAUUAUCGGUUAUAUACUUAAAUAGGAUAUAUGUUUACAUUAAAGCAAAAAGUUGAUAUAAUAGAUGGUAUUGUUGAUCAAUAGGAGCACAAUGAUUUUGUAUAUAUAUUGCUUGAAUAACUAGAUAGAGAACUUCUUUAGAAGUUGUCCUUAAUCAAUGAAGAUUAUAUGUCACAAUCUCUAUCAUGCAAUAAUGAUAAAAAAACAAAACAAAAAAAAUAAAAAUAAAAAGUACUGAAUUAUUAAUUUUUUUAAUUAACAUAAUAUAUUUUGGUUGAAGCAAAACAUUUGAUUGUUAUAAGCCUACGAAGUUGUGUAAAAAUACCCAUUUCCCAUAUGCACCAAACCACAUAAUUGAAAUAAAAUAUGAAAUUGUGAAACAAAAAGCUUUUACCAAAGAAGAAAAGUACCUGAGGCAAAUACCAGAAGUGUAAGAAAGAAACUCAACUUGACCAAAGAGGCGUUCAUGUUUUCUUGGC